GAUGAACGCUGGCGGCGUGCCUAAUACAUGCAAGUCGAGCGAACGGACGAGAAGCUUGCUUCUCUGAUGUUAGCGGCGGACGGGUGAGUAACACGUGGAUAACCUACCUAUAAGACUGGGAUAACUUCGGGAAACCGGAGCUAAUACCGGAUAAUAUUUUGAACCGCAUGGUUCAAAAGUGAAAGACGGUCUUGCUGUCACUUAUAGAUGGAUCCGCGCUGCAUUAGCUAGUUGGUAAGGUAACGGCUUACCAAGGCAACGAUGCAUAGCCGACCUGAGAGGGUGAUCGGCCACACUGGAACUGAGACACGGUCCAGACUCCUACGGGAGGAAGCAGUAGGGAAUCUUCCGCAAUGGGCGAAAGCCUGACGGAGCAACGCCGCGAGAGUGAUGAAGGUCUUCGGAUCGUAAAACUCUGUUAUUAGGGAAGAACAUAUGUGUAAGUAACUGUGCACAUCUUGACGGUACCUAAUCAGAAAGCCACGGCUAACUACGUG
rnacentral:rRNA from 1 species